rnacentral:rRNA from 1 species
AUGAACGCUGGCGGCGUGCCUAAUACAUGCAAGUCGAGCGAACAGACGAGGAGCUUGCUCCUCUGACGUUAGCGGCGGACGGGUGAGUAACACGUGGAUAACCUACCUAUAAGACUGGGAUAACUUCGGGAAACCGGAGCUAAUGCCGGAUAAUAUAUUGAACCGCAUGGUUCAAUAGUGAAAGACGGUUUUGCUGUCACUUAUAGAUGGAUCCGCGCCGCAUUAGCUAGUUGGUAAGGUAACGGCUUACCAAGGCAACGAUGCGUAGCCGACCUGAGAGGGUGAUCGGCCACACUGGAACUGAGACACGGUCCAGACUCCUACGGGAGGCAGCAGUAGGGAAUCUUCCGCAAUGGGCGAAAGCCUGACGGAGCAACGCCGCGUGAGUGAUGAAGGUCUUCGGAUCGUAAAACUCUGUUAUUAGGGAAGAACAAAUGUGUAAGUAACUAUGCACGUCUUGACGGUACCUAAUCAGAAAGCCACGGCUAACUACGU